GUGCCAGCAGCCGCGGUAAGACGAACCGAGCGAACGUUGUUCGGAAUCACUGGGCUUAAAGGGCGCGUAGGCGGAUUCUCAAGUCCGGGGUGAAAUCCUCCAGCUCAACUGGAGAACUGCCUCGGAUACUGGGUGUCUCGAGGGUGGUAGGGGUAUGCGGAACUAUCGGUGGAGCGGUGAAAUGCGUUGAUAUCGAUAGGAACUCCGGUGGCGAAGGCGGCAUACUGGACCACAUCUGACGCUGAGGCGCGAAAGCCAGGGGAGCGAACGGGAUUAGAAACCCUUGUAGUCC
rnacentral:rRNA from 1 species